CGCUGCCACCCAUCAACACUGUGUUUAUGGGGUCUAGUGGAGGAGGACCGUGAGCUGUGACAGAACCUCCAACCACCACCACUCCUCAAGGUCCUCUGUUCCCUCUCACACCACUCCUUAAGGUCCUCCAUUCCCUCUCACACCACUCCUUAAGGUCCUCCGUUCCCUCUCACACCACUCCUCAAGGUCCUCCGUUCCCUCUCACACCACUCCUCAAGGUCCUCCGUUCCCUCUCACACCNNNNNNNNNNCGUUCUCUCCCACACCACUCCUCAAGGUCUUCCGUUCCCUCCCACACCACUCCUCAAGGUCCUCCGUUACCUCUCACACCGCUCCUUAAGGGCCUCCAUUCCCUCUCACACCACUCCUCAAGGUCCUCCGUUCCCUCCCACACCGUUCCUCAAGGUCCUCCGUUCCCUCCCACACCGUUCCUCAAGGUCCUCCGUUCCCUCCCACACCACUCAGUCACUGUAAGCAAUGACUCAGAUCACAGACAGAAAUAUGCUUAAAGUAUCUCUUAUGUAGCCUAUAUAUCUUUUGUCCAUUUAUGAAGCCCUCAGCUGUUCAGUCAAUGUGCAGUCAAAUGUUUUGAUGAAUUGAAUUAAUGAAUCAUUUGCAAUUGAGCCUUUUUAAUACAAUUCAAUCUGUUCAUCUUCAUCUUCAAAGGCGACUUUGUGUAUUUUCUGAGUCAACAUGUAAAUAAAUACCUGUAGAAUAAUACCAGGAAUGUAAACAUUUGAAAUGUAAAAUAUAUAGUCUCAUGUAAGACAGGUUUGAUUGAUUAUACAAGUUUUAAAACAGCAUGUUAUUUAUUUUAGUUGCCUUUAUAGCCUGUUACAAUGUAAUAUUAAUGCUGGAAAUGUAUAUACUCUCUAUCUGAGUUAGGCCAGACGGUGUUUGAAACUAAACUGUAAGCAAAACAUUUUUGUAUCUUAGGUUUUGAUAAAUGUAAAAUUAAGAGAAAAUUAACUUAUACACCAAUAGAGGUGUUUGACCUGUAUAUAACCGAAUGAGAGGUAGGAGCUUAGAAAUGACUGUUGUUUGCAAUACAGAUUAACAUUUAUUAAAUAAUACUGUAAGGCUUCAUUCAUUAGAGAGAGAGAGAGAGAGAGAGAGAGAGACUUUGUUAGUUUGCGUUCAUGUGCUUCUUCAGCCAUUUGUCUGGUUGUCAGUACAUCCAAAAUAACAAUCUCUAAUCUCUCAAUUGAAAGCCCCAGUGUCAAAACUCUGUAUACACAUCCCUUUAAUGGCUCAACUGGACCUACACCAGGUGAGGAGAGAAAGAUUACUGUCCGGAAUGACAAUGGAAGAAGCAGUGGAUCAAAGUUGAGCUUUGUCUGUUAUUAUUUGAUUUCUUCGUUGUACAAUAGAGGGAGAUAUGGUCAGAUAAAGGUGUUUACCAGAAACUAGAACCAAUAGAGGUGUUUGACCCACAGCGGGAUCAAGCUGUUUAUACAUUGUGACCCUUUAGAGAAACUUCCGGGGAGUUGUCUAAAUGGAGCUUUGUUAGCCUUUGAGCAGAUGGAAGCCAAUAAAACCAUAAUCAGUAACAUUAGAUUGACCAGGGCAUUUGUGUGCCGAAAUGAUAUCAUUUCGAAGCGAUACACUAUUUAAAUGUAUUGAGUUGAUACGUACGUGCACAGGCUAUGUAUUAAAGUAGAGGAUUCAGCAUUUGUCUCCACAACAUGAAUAAAUAAAGCAAAAUGAAUGAUAUUCCCCAUCAGUGUUAUCCUUUAUCUACUCAAGGGGAAAAUCCAUUUCAGCCCAUGGACGGGAACAGAUGGCUUGAAAUCUAAUGAUGACCAAAUCCUGACGUUAAAAUAGUUUAAUUACAAAGUCAAUAAUGCCUCCAACAAUUGCGGGGACCUUUAGUGUAAAAACAACAGCAGGCUGAACGCAAACGUUGGGACAAUGUUUAACCAGAACUUUGCAUUUGGCGGUGAGUCUCCAUAUGUAGGCCAGGUGGGCCAAAGAUCAAGAGAUCCAGGGAUGUGUGAGACUGAUGGCUUUACUGUUGUAUGUCAGAGAAUCAAACCACAACACUGCUUUAACCUCACAGGUCUCUCAGACCCACUAAAAACCACC
rnacentral:lncRNA from 13 species